CCUACGGGUGGCUGCAGUAGGGAAUCUUCCGCAAUGGACGAAAGUCUGACGGAGCAACGCCGCGUGAGCGAUGAAGGCCUUCGGGUCGUAAAGCUCUGUCCUAAGGGAAGAAUACUGACGGUACCUUAGGAGGAAGCCCCGGCUAACUACGUGCCAGCAGCCGCGGUAAUACGUAGGGGGCUAGCGUUAUCCGGAAUUACUGGGCGUAAAGGGUGCGUAGGCGGCCCUUCAAGUCAGCGGGGAAAGGCUACGGCUCAACCGUAGUAAGCCUUUGAAACUGUAGGGCUUGAGUGCAGGAGAGGAGGGUGGAAUUCCCAGUGUAGCGGUGAAAUGCGUAGAUAUUGGGAGGAACACCAGUUGCGAAGGCGGCUCUCUGGACUGUAACUGACGCUGAGGCACGAAAGCGUGGGGAGCGAACAGGAUUAGAUACCCUGGUAGUC
rnacentral:rRNA from 1 species